rnacentral:rRNA from 1 species
UAAUACGUAGGGGGCAAGCGUUGUCCGGAAUUAUUGGGCGUAAAGCGCGCGCAGGCGGCUGUUUAAGUCUGGUGUUUAAUCCUGGGGCUCAACCCCGGGUCGCACUGGAAACUGGACGGCUUGAGUGCAGAAGAGGAGAGUGGAAUUCCACGUGUAGCGGUGAAAUGCGUAGAGAUGUGGAGGAACACCAGUGGCGAAGGCGACUCUCUGGGCUGUAACUGACGCUGAGGCGCGAAAGCGUGGGGAGCAAACAGGAUUAGAUACCCUGGUAGUCCACGCCGUAAACGAUGAGUGCUAGGUGUUAGGGGUUUCGAUACCCUUGGUGCCGAAGUAAACACAUUAAGCACUCCGCCUGGGGAGUACGGCCGCAAGGCUGAA